rnacentral:rRNA from 1 species
UACAGAGGAGCCAAGCGUUGUCCGGAUUGACUGGGCGUAAAGCGUGCGCAGGCGGUUAUGUAAGACAGUUGUGAAAUCCCCGGGCUCAACCUGGGAACUGCAUCUGUGACUGCAUAGCUAGAGUACGGUAGAGGGGGAUGGAAUUCCGCGUGUAGCAGUGAAAUGCGUAGAUAUGCGGAGGAACACCGAUGGCGAAGGCAAUCCCCUGGACCUGUACUGACGCUCAUGCACGAAAGCGUGGGGAGCAAACAGG